UACAGAGGUCCCAAGCGUUGUUCGGAUUCACUGGGCGUAAAGGGUGCGUAGGCGGUCGGGUAAGUCUGAUGUGAAAUCUCACAGCUUAACUGUGAAACUGCAUUGGAUACUAUUCGGCUUGAGAGUUGGAGGGGGGACUGGAAUUCUUGGUGUAGCAGUGAAAUGCGUAGAUAUCAAGAGGAACACCAGUGGCGAAGGCGAGUCCCUGGACAACUUCUGACGCUGAGACACGAAAGCCAGGGGAGCGAACGGG
rnacentral:rRNA from 1 species